rnacentral:rRNA from 1 species
UACGGGGGGGGGCAAGCGUUGUUCGGAAUUACUGGGCGUAAAGGGCUUGUAGGCGGCCAACUAAGUCCGACGUGAAAUCCCCAGGCUUAAACCUGGGAACUGCGUCGGAUACUGGAUGGCUUGAAUUCGGGAGAGGGAUGCAGAAUUCCAGGUGUAGCGGUGAAAUGCGUAGAUAUCUGGAGGAAUACCGGUGGCGAAGGCGGCAUCCUGGACCGACAUUGACGCUGAGGAGCGAAAGCUAGGGGAGCAAACGGG